rnacentral:rRNA from 1 species
CUGCUGCCUUCCGUAGGAGUCUGGGCCGUGUCUCAGUUCCAGUGUGGGGGGCCUUCCUCUCAGAACCCCUACGCAUCGUCGCCACGGUGGGCCGUUACCCCGCCGUCAAGCUAAUGCGCCGCAUGCCCAGCCGCCACCGGAUUCCUCCUUUCGCCCGGACCGGAUGCCCGGUCCGGGCGGCAUGGGGUAUUAGGCCGGGUUUCCCCGGGUUAUCCCCCUGUGGCGGGCAGGUUCCAUACGUGUUACUCACCCGUGCGCCGGUCGCCGGCAGGUGCAGG